UGGCCUUGUAUCUCAUUAGAAACAAAGAGCGUGGAGAGCGGACCCUCUAGGAAUCGCCCCCAGGAGCCGGAUGAACGUUUGGGGCUUACGGAGGGUAGCUGCCCUGACCAUUUAGACGACCAAGUGACAGGACCGUCAUGUUAAUCCUCCCCCAGGGGCAGGUUCAUGAUUUUUCUCCGACUGGUGAGCUGCUUGUCACACUCGCAUUGACGGAAUGCUUUAGCUUUAUAGGACAAGGCCUCCUCGUCACCUGGAAGGGCACCCAGGGGCAGAACUCAUUGCCUUGCGAGACCUGUGGCCACUGGCCCCUUGGGGCUGACCCGUGGGGCAUGAAGACUCAUGAAAGGUCAUGGGGAAGCUUUUGGCUCUGGUCUGACCACGGCCACUGGCCCUUUCUACCAACCUCCUCACAGAGACGAGCAGCCAUGCGACAUCGGCUGCACUGUGCACGCUGGAAUCCACUGUGUGGGCUGCGUACCACGGCCACCAUCUCCACACGACAUCAUUUCAGUCUGGGAGUCGAAAUUACCCCUGCCAGCCUCCCAGCCCCCGGAUGUUGGCUGAACUUGAGACGACGCCUUUUGAUUCAUACCAGAGGACCAGGCUCCAGGAAACCCAAGCAGCCUUGCCACUCGGCUCGGUGGCCAUGGAAACACAGGCCACAUUCCUCUGCGGCAAAGACUUCCUGUGCAAAAUACCUUCGGGGCCUAGCC